rnacentral:lncRNA from 1 species
AAACUCUACUGUGGUUGCAGUGCUUUCAGUAUCCAGGUCAGCCCCUUUCCUGAAACGUUUUUCUACCACUUGAUCAAAUCUUUUAAGUUAGGAACAUUACAAAUAAAUUCAACUCAUACAUAACAAUAUUGAAUCUAAUACAAAUGCUGUGAACAAAUUUUUGGUCCCUGCCAAAAAUAGGAGGUCGAUUUACAGAAGCAUACAUCAACCGUAUUUUACUCUGGUGCAAGAAAACUUCUGGGGAAACAAAUUGUUCAGUCUCUUCAUGUUCACGAAAAUCUUCUCUAUGCUGGAGGUUCUUCCGUAGAUGGUAUUGCAGGAAAGGUGAGGAUCAGAAACAUCACCAGUCAUCAUGUCACACCUUCCACAUUAUAUUUCAAAGUUAGUAGAUUAAAAAGCAUAACUAUUUGUCGAAAAACAAACUACUGUUGCAGGUAUUCUCUCUAUCAACAAAGGCGGUAACAGGAUCACUGGCAACCGGACUAGACAUUCAGUGCAUAACUGUGAACAAUGAUUUCAUAUUUACUGCCACGAGAUUUGGCACCAUUGAGGUGUGGUUAAAAGAAAGAGUGACAAGAAUUGCUUCCAUCAGGAUGGGCAGUGGAGGAAAUGCAAAGAUCACAUCCUUGACAUCAGAUAAGGAUGGACAAAUGCUUUUUGCUGGCUCUUCUGAUGGCAAAAUUCAGGUGAGAUGCAAGAAACCAUUUUAAUGAAAUGCAAUUAUUUAAAAAUGAUCUAGUGAAGUUAUGAUAACAUGUUUAUAUUGAUUCUGCCUGCAGGCUUGGGUGCUGGAUUGAAACAGAGAAUUAUGCCAUUAUUUUUGCAUUUCUGUGGUCUUGUAAGUUGCAACGUAAAUAUAACUUAUUCAUCGUACACCAAUUUUUUAUGGGUAAUACUUUCAAAAUUCUAAAUAAAUGAUUCAAUGAUUAUCAAUUUUAAUUGUAUAUAUUUCUUUUACAUCAGCCAUAUACAAUAUAACUCAAUUCUAUUAUGGGACAAAUUCUAUUGUAGAUUAUUCCGGCAUGUCAUAUUUUAUAUAUCCAUUUUUAAAAUAAAUUUUAUUCCUAUUAAAAAGUAUUUUUAUAUUUUUAAGACAAAUUUUAUGAUAAUUUUUCAAAUCUAUUCUCAUAAUUUCUGUUUGCAAUACUUGACUUAUUUGCAAUUUAGUUGAACUCAUCAUUUCGAAAAUGAAUAUAUAAAAAGGAUCGAAGAUACAUCAUUUGAUUGUUCAAAAAAUCAGUAUAUUAUAGAGUGUCAGCUCUAUUUUAAAAUCAAGUUAAUCUGUUCACCUCUAUUUAGAAUCAAACCAUCAAAUAUGUAUAUGAUAUUAUUAGUUUAUUACCAAGAAAAGAGCGAGCUCACUCAUAUUUUACCUCCUGCCAAGUGGAUCUUAUAAGAAAUCUUUGAAGACAUCUGAAUAGAAAAUAGUACAAAACAAUAUUCAAUUAGAAUUAUUACAACACAUAAUACCAGAAGAAAAAACUAGAUUUGUUUUCCAAAAGGAAAAACCAGCAAGUACGAACUACGAAGAGAUGCAUCAGAGUCAUGGAAGUACGAGAAAUAAACAUGGUUCGCAUAAAGCGAGCUUCUCAUAAUCUGAUUAAAUAAUACUCAUCACUUGCAUCAAAUAUAAUAUUAUAAUAUAAUAGUAAUAAAACAAACGGAGAGAGAUGGAGACUCGAGAGAGAUUUGGCUAUAUUUUUUGUGGCCGCAGCCUCAAGAUAAACAGUGCCAAAUGGAAGCAGCCUGUUUACGAUUAUAUAUAUCCCGUUAAAACCCUCGAUGUGAUCUCAACCGUUGGAUAAAGAGAAUUGACGUCUAGUUACAGGGAUAAGAAACUCGCAAAAUGGGCCGAUAACUCGUUGUCCAUAAACGAUGGGCCAAAACCAUAAAACGAAAAUCCGCUGAGAUAAAAGUGUUGAAAUAUCAUCGGAG